GCUGGGCAUGGUGACACAUCCCUGUAGUCUUAGUUACUAGGGAGAUUGAUCGGCUAGAAUUGCUUGAGGCCAUGAGUUUUGAGACCAGUCUGGGCAAUAUAGUGAGAUCCCAUCUU
rnacentral:sRNA from 1 species